AACGUAGGGGGCAAGCGUUGUCCGGAAUUACUGGGCGUAAAGGGCGUGUAGGCGGCCGUGCAAGUCCGGAGUGAAACCCGGCGGCUCAACUGCCGGCCUGCUUUGGAAACUGCGUGGCUUUGAGUGCAGGAGAGGGGAGUGGAAUUCCCAGUGUAGCGGUGAAAUGCGUAGAUAUUGGGAGGAACACCAGUGGCGAAAGCGGCUCCCUGGCCUGUAACUGACGCUGAGGCGCGAAAGCGUGGGUAGCAAACAGG
rnacentral:rRNA from 1 species